UCAGUAAUGUUAAGGUUUAGUUUUACGUUAAAGAAAGAAAAAAAUAUGAACAAAUGAACAAAAUAAAAACCCUUUAACAAAAAAAACAAAUGAACAAAAUAAAUGUUGGGACGAGAAAAAAGAGAACAUGGAGGCAUGUGGGUGGUGGGGUCAAUGUAUUAGGAAAAGAAGGUUACAGCCCGUCUUUGCCGGGACAGAGGUCUCUUUGUCUACCCUUCUUCCCCGGACUCUCUCUUCUUUUAUUAUUAUUUUCACAUAAAGUUAAGCGAUCUUUGCUUUGAUCGAUUACUUACGAUCACAAAGCUGUAAGCUUUUGGUAACUGGUUGACUUUUUAUAUAUACGGAUUCUAAUGCUCCAGGAAUCAUUUUAAAGACAAUCCAAAAAUACUUCAAUUUUUUAACAUGAAUCUUUCACUUUAUAUAUAUCUAAACUGCAUGCAAUCAGAAAUAGGUACGCAGAAACGGUGCCUUUGAAAUCACCGAAAUGGUUUUAUGAAAAAAUGCAUACAUAUUAGAAGGCUUAGUAUAUAAGUGCACAUACAGGUCCAUCCCGUCCAUAAAGCAGUUAAAGAACUAUAGUUAAUUGAAAUGCCAUAUUUUUGCAAAAUAAUUCAUUUGUUUUAAUGCACUAUAAGAAAACAUAUAAUUGCCGACUGCAAGUUGCGACUUGAAAAGCUAGCGACUGCAUUGCGAUUGUUUUGCUACUGAAUGACUACUAAAAUAAAACAGUCGUCUAGUAGAUGCUAAUUCGAGAUUGAUGCAUAAUGUUGCAGUUUAGUCGUCAAUUUGCGACUAAUUUCGAGACCAAUUUGACAGUCGCAAAACAUUACGACUAAACAGCUACUCAUUAGCGACUGAUAUAUUUAAUUUGGGCCUUAAACCAAAUUUGGGCCGUAACAAAACGGCGAAAACCCAAAUCGAUCUCAUCCUCAUCCCCGAGAUACCCUAAUCCCUCAUUUCUUUUCAUCCGCCGAGAAAACCCUAGAUCACAAUUACUCUCAAUCGAGAAAAUCCUAAAUCUUCAUCCCCGUCCUUGUAUCAAUCGAGAAAACCCUAAACCCAUUAUUAGGCCCAAAUCGACAGAAUUUAGACAGAAGCAGCCAUGGCUACAACUUCAAGGUUUCUAAGUAAAUUGCCGAGGUUUCUCAAGCUUUCUCCAACCCUUCUCCGUAGCAAUGGCGUAAGGUAUACAAGCAAUUUGGUUCAAGAGUCCUUAGAACCGGUGGAAUCCUUCUGGCUAAUGGGAUCUCGAAUCCGCAAUGAUUCUUUAACUACAAGAAGUUUCUCCUCUUCUCAAGGUCCUGCUUCUGUCGAUUACAGUUCGGUUUUGUAGGAGGAUGAGUUUCACAAAUUAGCCAACUUAACUAUAAACGACCUUCUUGCAAAAAUUGAGGUAUUUAAGUAAAGGAUUAUGGUGAUGAUGUUCAGAUUGAUGGUUUCGACAUUGACUAUGGGAACGAAGUUCUCACCCUUAAGCAUGGAUCGUUAGGCACAUAUGUGGAAUAUCGAUGUCUGCUUGUUGCCUGCUUAUUGCUAACUUUAGAUGUCUAAAUGGAAUUUCGCUGCUGAUGUUCAA